rnacentral:rRNA from 1 species
UACGGAGGGUGCGAGCGUUAAUCGGAAUUACUGGGCGUAAAGGGUGCGUAGGUGGUUAGAUAAGUCAGCUGUGAAAGUCCUGGGCUCAACCUAGGGAUGUCAGCUGAUACUGUUGGACUAGAGUAUGGGAGAGGGUAGUGGAAUUUCCGGUGUAGCGGUGAAAUGCGUAGAGAUCGGAAGGAACAUCGGUGGCGAAGGCGGCUACCUGGCCUAAUACUGACACUGAGGCACGAAAGCGUGGGGAGCAAACAGG